UACGGGGGGAGCAAGCGUUGUUCGGAUUUACUGGGCGUAAAGGGCGCGUAGGCGGCCACGACAAGUCACUUGUGAAAUCUCCGGGCUUAACUCGGAAAGGUCAAGUGAUACUGUCGGGCUAGAGUGCAGAAGGGGCAACUGGAAUUCUCGGUGUAGCGGUGAAAUGCGUAGAUAUCGAGAGGAACACCUGCGGCGAAGGCGGGUUGCUGGGCUGACACUGACGCUGAGGCGCGAAAGCCAGGGGAGCGAACAGG
rnacentral:rRNA from 1 species